UCCUGGCUUAGAACGAACGCUGGUGGCGUGUCUUAUACAUGCAAGUCGAGCGGUCCGCAAGGAUAGCGGCGAACGGGUGAGUAACGCGUAAGCAAUCUGCCCCGCAUAUUGGGGAUAGCCGUGCCAACGCGCGGAUAAUACCGAAUAACGUGGCCCCGGACAUCCGGGGUUGACGAAAGAUCCAUCGAUGCGGGAUGAGCUUGCGUCCGAUUAGCUAGUUGGCGGGGCAACGGCCCACCAAGGCGACGAUCGGUAGCCGGCCUGAGAGGGUGAUCGGCCACAUUGGGACUGAGAUACGGCCCAGACUCCUACGGGAGGCAGCAGUAGGGAAUAUUGCACAAUGGGGGAAACCCUGAUGCAGCAACGCCAACGUGUGGGAAGAAGCAUUUCGGUGUGUAAACCACUGUCGUGAGGGAAUAAUACGCGUCUUCGGGCGCGGGGGAAUGUACCUCGAGAGGAAGCACCGGCAAACUUCGUGCCAGCCGCCGC
rnacentral:rRNA from 1 species